UUCCGUCCGGCGCUCGCUGGGGCAGGGAGCUGGCCAAGGAACUACAGCUCCCAGGGCCCCGCGGGGUCUGAGCGCCCAGGGGGAUCCCCGGCUCCCAGGCCCGCUCCCAGCGCCUCCGCUCCAGCGAUGGGCCCCCCCGAGCUGCGCCCGGGUGACUCCGGGCCUGGCCCGGACCGGACGCUGCCGCCGCUGUGAGCCGGCCCCGGCCCCGGCUGGGAGCUGCUGCCCCCGGGCUGCAGAACAACUCCACAUUUCGCUCCAGCUCGUCCCGUCCUCCCAUGGCACAGGGCAGAGAAAUGGCUGCAGCGGAGCCAGUUCAGGGGCCGGUGAGCUUCGAGGAGGUGGCUGUGUAUUUCACCGCGGGGCAGGGGGCCCUGCUGGACCCCGCUCAGAGAGCCCUCUACAGAGACGUCAUGCAGGAGAACUAUGAGAACGUGACCUCGCUGGGUAAGGAUUCCUAUCCCCUCGGUUCUUAGAAGGGGAAAUGCAGAGUUCAGAUUCACGUCAUCCCCACAAUGCCACCUCUACUCUGCCCUGUUUCAGCAUUACCUGACUUGGUUUUGCCGGCUGGUGCCCCAACCUGGUCCCACCCCCUCCCCUAAGGCCCCGUCACUGAGCCCCCACCCCAACUCCAUUUCUCUCUGCUGGCUCCAUGGGUGGUGGGUGAACAGCUGGCGUGGGGAGGCUAGCUCCCCCGCCCCUUCCAUGCCCACCAAACUGAUGGGUUGGAAACAGUGAAUGCUUCUGCCCUGGGACAGGCUGAGGGGGCCCUGCAUGCGCAAGGGCUGAUUUGUGGCUGCCACAGCUGAUUAUCCCAGCGGAUGCUGAGCACCCACCAGUUUUUCCCCUGGAUGCUCCAGCCCCGGCACGCCCAUGGAGUCGGCACCUAUGAACAACACCCCAACGUACCCCUGACACACACCAGCGCUCUGCCCUCCCCUGCUACAGGAUGCUCUGGGAACAGAUCACAGGGGCCGGACAACAUGACGUCUGACAUCUUCUCUUUGCUAAGGAAAAGUCUGGAUUUAGGUUCGGUGUAACGACCCCCGGCCAUCACUCAAACACUGAGCCUGCUCCAUACAAACCAGCUUGGCCUCGCUCUGUAAUCCUGUGGGCCGUCCCUCCGGGUCUGGCCCUCAGGGAGGCCCUGCGGAGCCCUUAGCACUGCACUCAAUUGGUGGGGAAAUGAGCCAUCUUUAGAGCUCAGUCUGCUGGCUCUGGGCUGGGCAAGAGUGAGUCUAUGAACCCGGCCUUCAGGCAGGGCAGGGCACCAGCGGUCAGGGGCAGACUCUGCACACACUGGAACCCCUGAGGGUCAGCACCUCCCCUCCCACCCGCCAGGGAUCAGCUGUUCCGCAGUGUGCAGGAGGGCGGGACAGCGGUGUGAAGAGACAGGGCAGGUGAGGUCUUGGAGGAAGGGGUGGAGUAGGG